AGGGAUUUGGCUUAGUGAUACAGGACUUGCCUAGAAUGCACCAGGUCCUGGGUUAGAUUCCCAGCAUCCCUG
rnacentral:tRNA from 1 species